GGGCCCGCACAAGCGGUGGAGCAUGUGGUUCAAUUCGACGCAACGCGAAGAACCUUACCUGGGCUAGACAACGGCGGACCAGUCCUAGAAAUAGGAUCUUCCCUUCGGGGACUGCCGGUUCAGGUGCUGCA
rnacentral:rRNA from 1 species